ensembl:lncRNA
GUUCUGGGGAAGCACUUGUGCUGUGAUUGUAUAACCAGUUAAUCAGGUGGUGACUCAUAGCCCUGUCCUGGGCUGGGCAGAGGGCGAUCUGUGAGCCCUGCAGGAGUGCGGCUGCCUGGUGGGAGAACCUCGUCCAAAAGAUGGAGGUAACACAUCCCCAUCUCUGCCUGGUGCAGAGCGAGAGGUGGGAGCAGCACGAAGAGCAGGGAGCUGGUGGUGGCUCAGGACAGACGUGGUGGUGGCUGAGCUGCAGAGGGCACAGGGAAGGAGCUGCCGGUGCCUGUGGGUGUUGGAAGGCCCAAAUGAACUUGCUGAGCAGGUUCCCAGCUCAGAGCUCCUCAGAGGGCAGGAGAGGUGUGGUUGGGCGGCGGGGGUGCAGCACAGGGAAGUCUCUGCUGUUAAACAAAUUGCUGGGGUUUGAGUUUUUACAAAAUCCACGUGUGGGGAUGGGCACAUCUGUGCCUGAACAGGUCCUGCAGAGAUCGCUGCCCAGGUGGGAGAGAAACUGGUGGUGGCAGCCAGAAAGGAGGGUGCUUUGGGAUGUCCUGGGGAGGUAGGAAGACGGGAUGAGCUGAGAAGCAGUGGUUGGCACAGUUUAGAUUUUCAGACCCUUAAGUGACACCUGAACAACGGCAAUUUGAGGUCGUUACUGUGCAGUGAAUGUAUAUUUAUCUGAACGUCUGCAAACGUGCACUGCACUGAUAAGCGGUACAAGUAAUUAUUUUGAUCACGUAAAUCAACUGUUACUGCACUGAGACUGCUGCAACAGCUCGCAGUUCUCAGCAGUGCUGCUGGCGGCUCUUUCCCCUUCUGUGUCCUUAGAGAGCAAAUAAAUGCAAGUUUAGAGAGGCUGGGAAGAACAGUGAAGUGGCAGAUCUUUCGUUUGUUUUAAUCCACCCUCAGAACUGUAGGCAAAAUGUAGGAACCUAACCUGUGGGUAAAUGAAGUCUACAUCGUAGAGACUGCAUGGUAUGCAAGCUGGCCCUGAGUUUAACCCCCUCACCCAUUUAUUUCUCCCAUUCAGUUUUUCAGUUUAGGGGAGCUGAGCCCCACUUGGUUUGGAGCACCCUCAAAAUAGAACAGAAACAGUGGCAAAAGGUGGAGACAAAGCAUUGAGAUCCUGAGCUGGGAAAGCCCGCUAACCUCAACUCAGCCCAAUAAAAGAGUCCCAAAGGUUUCAUGGGAGGAGAGCUGACAGCGAGAGCUUCUCUCCAGGGAGUUCUGGGUGGGGAUGACAAAGAAGGCACGCUAAUGCCUCAGAUUUCUGAGCUCUGUACAAUCUCUGCAACUAAAAUAAUAAAGCUUUUACCAUCCA